rnacentral:rRNA from 1 species
GACGAACGCUGGCGGCAGGCUUAACACAUGCAAGUCGAGCGCCCACUUCGGUGGGAGCGGCAGACGGGUGAGUAACGCGUGGGAACAUGCCCUUCGGUACGGAAUAGCCCCGGGAAACUGGGUGUAAUACCGUAUACGACCUCCGGGUGAAAGAUUUAUCGCCGAAGGAUUGGCCCGCGUUAGAUUAGCUAGUUGGUGGGGUAAAGGCCUACCAAGGCGACGAUCUAUAGCUGGUCUGAGAGGACGACCAGCCACACUGGGACUGAGACACGGCCCAGACUCCUACGGGAGGCAGCAGUGGGGAAUAUUGGACAAUGGGCGAAAGCCUGAUCCAGCCAUGCCGCGUGGAUGAAGAAGGCCCUAGGGUUGUAAAGUCCUUUCGAUGGUGAAGAUAAUGACGGUAAC